rnacentral:rRNA from 1 species
GAUUCCCCCAGUAGCGGCGAGCGAACGGGGAGCAGCCCAGAGCCUGAAUCAGUGUGUGUGUUAGUGGAAGCGUCUGGAAAGGCGCGCGAUACAGGGUGACAGCCCCGUACACAAAAAUGCACAUGCUGUGAGCUCGAUGAGUAGGGCGGGACACGUGGUAUCCUGUCUGAAUAUGGGGGGACCAUCCUCCAAGGCUAAAUACUCCUGACUGACCGAUAGUGAACCAGUACCGUGAGGGAAAGGCGAAAAGAACCCCGGCGAGGGGAGUGAAAAAGAACCUGAAACCGUGUACGUACAAGCAGUGGGAGCACGCUUAGGCGUGUGACUGCGUACCUUUUGUAUAAUGGGUCAGCGACUUAUAUUCUGUAGCAAGGUUAACCGAAUAGGGGAGCCGAAGGGAAACCGAGUCUUAACUGGGCGUUAAGUUGCAGGGUAUAGACCCGAAACCCGGUGAUCUAGCCAUGGGCAGGUUGAAGGUUGGGUAACACUAACUGGAGGACCGAACCGACUAAUGUUGAAAAAUUAGCGGAUGACUUGUGGCUGGGGGUGAAAGGCCAAUCAAACCGGGAGAUAGCUGGUUCUCCCCGAAAGCUAUUUAGGUAGCGCCUCGUGAAUUCAUCUCCGGGGGUAGAGCACUGUUUCGGCAAGGGGGUCAUCCCGACUUACCAACCCGAUGCAAACUGCGAAUACCGGAGAAUGUUAUCACGGGAGACACACGGCGGGUGCUAACGUCCGUCGUGAAGAGGGAAACAACCCAGACCGCCAGCUAAGGUCCCAAAGUCAUGGUUAAGUGGGAAACGAUGUGGGAAGGCCCAGACAGCCAGGAUGUUGGCUUAGAAGCAGCCAUCAUUUAAAGAAAGCGUAAUAGCUCACUGGUCGAGUCGGCCUGCGCGGAAGAUGUAACGGGGCUAAACCAUGCACCGAAGCUGCGGCAGCGACGCUUAUGCGUUGUUGGGUAGGGGAGCGUUCUGUAAGCCUGCGAAGGUGUGCUGUGAGGCAUGCUGGAGGUAUCAGAAGUGCGAAUGCUGACAUAAGUAACGAUAAAGCGGGUGAAAAGCCCGCUCGCCGGAAGACCAAGGGUUCCUGUCCAACGUUAAUCGGGGCAGGGUGAGUCGACCCCUAAGGCGAGGCCGAAAGGCGUAGUCGAUGGGAAACAGGUUAAUAUUCCUGUACUUGGUGUUACUGCGAAGGGGGGACGGAGAAGGCUAUGUUGGCCGGGCGACGGUUGUCCCGGUUUAAGCGUGUAGGCUGGUUUUCCAGGCAAAUCCGGAAAAUCAAGGCUGAGGCGUGAUGACGAGGCACUACGGUGCUGAAGCAACAAAUGCCCUGCUUCCAGGAAAAGCCUCUAAGCAUCAGGUAACAUCAAAUCGUACCCCAAACCGACACAGGUGGUCAGGUAGAGAAUACCAAGGCGCUUGAGAGAACUCGGGUGAAGGAACUAGGCAAAAUGGUGCCGUAACUUCGGGAGAAGGCACGCUGAUAUGUAGGUGAAGUCCCUCGCGGAUGGAGCUGAAAUCAGUCGAAGAUACCAGCUGGCUGCAACUGUUUAUUAAAAACACAGCACUGUGCAAACACGAAAGUGGACGUAUACGGUGUGACGCCUGCCCGGUGCCGGAAGGUUAAUUGAUGGGGUCAGCGCAAGCGAAGCUCUUGAUCGAAGCCCCGGUAAACGGCGGCCGUAACUAUAACGGUCCUAAGGUAGCGAAAUUCCUUGUCGGGUAAGUUCCGACCUGCACGAAUGGCGUAAUGAUGGCCAGGCUGUCUCCACCCGAGACUCAGUGAAAUUGAACUCGCUGUGAAGAUGCAGUGUACCCGCGGCAAGACGGAAAGACCCCGUGAACCUUUACUAUAGCUUGACACUGAACAUUGAGCCUUGAUGUGUAGGAUAGGUGGGAGGCUUUGAAGUGUGG